UCCCUGGUGGCUCAGACAGUAAAGCAUCUGCCUGCAAUGCAGGAGAUCCAGGUUCAGUACCUGGAUUGGGAA
rfam:TPA: Bos taurus chromosome 5, whole genome shotgun sequence.